GAUGAACGCUGGCGGCGUGCCUAAUACAUGCAAGUCGAGCGAACAGACGAGGAGCUUGCUCCUUUGACGUUAGCGGCGGACGGGUGAGUAACACGUGGAUAACCUACCUAUAAGACUGGGAUAACUUCGGGAAACCGGAGCUAAUACCGGAUAACAUGUUGAACCGCAUGGUUCAACAGUGAAAGACGGUCUUGCUGUCACUUAUAGAUGGAUCCGCGCCGCAUUAGCUAGUUGGUAAGGUAGCGGCUUACCAAGGCAACGAUGCGUAGCCGACCUGAGAGGGUGAUCGGCCACACUGGAACUGAGACACGGUCCAGACUCCUACGGGAGGCAGCAGUAGGGAAUCUUCCGCAAUGGGCGAAAGCCUGACGGAGCAACGCCGCGUGAGUGAAGAAGGUCUUCGGAUCGUAAACCUCUGUUAUUAGGGAAGAACAAAUGUGUAAGUAACUAUGCACGUCUUGACGGUACCUAAUCAGAAAGCCACGGCUAACUACGUG
rnacentral:rRNA from 1 species